rnacentral:ncRNA from 1 species
CCUCCAUAACCACGUGCAGACGUGAAGGGACUUGUUCCUAGUACGAGAGGACCGGAAUGAACGAACCUCUGGUGCACCUGCUGUCGUGUCAACGGCACCGCAGGAUAGCUAUGUUCGGACGGGAUAACCGCUGAAGGCAUCUAAGCGGGAAGCUCACCCUAAGAUUGCGUCUGCCCAUAAGUCCGCCGGAAGACUACCGGUAAAAUCGGUCACAGGUGUACGCGCAGUAAUGCGCUCAGCCGAGUGAUGCGAAUGGACGAUUGUACGUUUUUC